AUGGAAAACUUUGCGCUGGCAGCUGAAUUGGUACAACAAGCCAGGAAGCGGAAAGUUCCAAUGGUCGUGCUAAAGCUUGAUUUUGAAAAAGCUUUUGAUAGUGUCAGUUGGGAGGCCUUGAGAAAAAUCCUCGUGGCAAGAGGUUUCGGGGAGAGAUGGAUCAAGUGGGUGGAUGCUCUUCUCACAACUAGCUCCUCCAGAAUCAUUGUCAAUGGAAGCCCAGGCGAGCAGAUCAUUUCCAAGUGUGGGCUGCGGCAGGGUGACGCCCUGUCCCCGUACCUUUUCAUUCUGGUAGCGGAUGUUCUCCAACAGCUCUGUAAAAGGGAGCAUCAAUAG
rnacentral:rRNA from 1 species